UGUGAGUACAUCUGCACGCACAGUGAGGCGAAAACCUUUGGUAGAUGGCCUGGUGUCAAGAAGGGCAGCAAAGAAGCCACUUGUCUCCAAGAAAAACAUCAGCGACAGACUGAUAUUCUGCAAAAGGUACCAGGAUUGGACUGCUGGGGAUUGGGGUAAAGUAAUUUUCUUUGAAUCCCCUUUCCGAUUGUUUGGGGCAUCUGGAAAAAGCUUGUCCGGAGAAGACAAGGUGAGCGCUACCAUCAGUCCUGUGUCAUGCCAACAGUGUAAAGCAUCCUGAGACCAUGUGUGGGGUUGCUUCUCAGCCAAUCGAGUGGGCUCACUCACAAUUUUAAGAACACAGCCUUGAAUAAAGAAUGGUACCAACACAUCCUCCGAGAGCGACUUCUCCCAACCAUCCAGGAACAGUUUAGUGAUGAACAAUGCCUUUUCCAGCAUGAUGGAGCACCUUGCCAUAAGGCAAAAGUGAUAACUAAGUGGCUUGGGGAACAAAACAUCAAUAUUUUUUGUCCAUGGCCAUGAAAGAUCCCCAGACCGUAAUCCCAUUGAGAGCUUGUGGUCAAUCCUCAAGAAGGCUGGUGGACAAACAAAAUCCCACACAUUCUGACAAACUCCAAGCAUUGAUUAUGAAAGAAUGGGCUGCCAUCAGUCAGGAUGUGGCCCAGAAGUUAAUUGACAGCAUGCCAGAGCGGAUUGCAGAGGUUUUGAGAAAGACGGGUCAACACUUGACUCUUUGCAUCAACUUCAUGUAAUUGUCAAUAAAAGCCUUUGACACUUAUGAAAUUCUUGUAAUUAUACUUCAGUAUUCCAUAGUAACAUUUGACAUCUACAUGUAGAGAUGAAAAAAUUUUUUUUUAGAUAUACUGUAGGCCUACCAAAGUUGUUGUAGGGCUUUUAUUUUACUACAUAUUGGUCUACCUACUCUGCUGGCGUCUUGACCCAGUGUAUGCCGUCAUUUGCAACGCAAACCCGGGCGGCAGUGUGUUUAGGGUUAUUGUCUGCCUGGGCCUGCAGGACGCAAAGUUCUUUGUUUGUCAGAUUAAUCAUUGGGUCAAAACUACAGAACAGUACAAAACAAGCGAAAGAACACACGUGGUUAAUGUUCUGAUAUUUAUUUUUAUAUAUAUAAUUUCUUACCGAGCCUUUCCGUAAGUCCACGCAAGUUUCAUCAACUGUCUUCUUACUGUAAUUAGAAUGAUGUUGAUGUCGUGCCGAGAUGCCAGUUGAUUACAGAUUGCCUUAGCUGAUCGUUCGUUAUCUUCAUUCAUCAGGGAGUCGAUGGCUUGAAUAGUCUCUAUUGAAAUGAAAUACAAUGUGAAAAUGUGCAGCAUACAUUAAAGACGAGCAGUCGAUUUAUUUAAGCAUUUUUUGUAUUAUUAGGCCUACAUUAAAGUAUCGUAGCCUACUGUACCUGUUCAUCUUCCUGGUCUUUCGAGUUCGGCGUAAAACAGGCAUCUGAGGAUAGUGUUUGCGAAUAGCACUGUCCGCGACACAAAUCCCCAAGUCUACCAGUUUAAAAAAAAAUGUCUACAGUAGAUUUUCCGUUCCUCCUGAAAGCACUAAUCUGCUCACUUAAAUGAACAGAGAUCCUGGUCACGGUGCUACAGUAUAAUCAAAGUGAGGACAAUCUGCUGUAUACUUAUAGCCUAUUGUAACCUGAAAGUCACGCCUUUCCUCCCCCCCCCCCCAAAACACCACCCUUGACACAGUUACCAUUCAAAAACGAGCUGUUAAAUAAAUAAAAAAAAUCACAUUACGACCAAAGAGAACAGACGAAAUGGACGUUUUCAUCAAGCCAGCUUCUUUCUAUGGUGCUACCCGUUCCAGGAUUAGGACUGUAACCACCAGAGGACUUGAAAAUGAGCUGGAGCUGAGAGAUCACCAAAACUAAAGGUGUUUUGGUUUCAGAGCAUUUGAUAUUAAAAAAGAAAAGGUGUGUAUAUAGCCUAUCAAUGUGUAGGCACUGUAUACUGUAUAAUGAAUGUAUACUGUAUAAUAAAAUUGAUAAUUUUGUACUAAAAACCUGACUGUUUUUGCAGAACUGGUUACCAACGUAAUUAGAAGAGUACAAAUAAUUGUUUUGUAUAUGGUCUGACAUACUACUGAUGUCAGCCAAUCAGCAUUCAGGGCUCGAACCAUCCACCUUAUAAUUACAAAUAAUUUGGAUGCUGCAAAUUAACUACAAGAACCCCAAACAGAUAUGUUUGACUAAAAGUCAUUUUAAACCUAGCUUACAUUUGUAUACGAUCACGUCUCUUUUAUGCGUGGGAAUACUUGGGAACAGAUUUUCAAAAUUCAAAUUACUACGAGCUCAUUUCCACAAUGGAAAAAUAAAUACAAAACACGCAUGCCAAAUUUGUCAUGCGUGUCACCAGUUGGGGAACCCUGCCGUAUGUGAUGUAAACAGAGGUAUCUACUUUCUUGGGGACCUGAGUAUUGACUGGUUUUCAUCAAGCUGUCUGCUCAAGAGAAAGCUUUUCACUGUAACCAGUACCUGUAAUCGGAUUCAGAUUAUUAAUCAACCUACCAGGGUGUUUACAAACACUACAAGAAGAUGAUCAUCCACAUGAUCACAAUAUAGUGGCUUUAUCCAGGAAAGCCGAAGUUCCACAAGCUGGGUCUAAAAUAGUAUAUAAGAGCUACACAAAAGAUUUGGCUGUGAUUGAUGUGGAUUAUGUUACAAAUAUUUGUUGGUUUGUGAUUAAUAAGCAGCGCUUUAUGAAUUUAUGAAAUUGAUUCUUCCAAUUACUGAUAAACAUGCACCUGUUAACUGAUUGUCUUUGGUCUGCAGCAUUUUGAGUAGAACCUUGUUACUUUGAGUAACGUUCAACAAAACUGCCUGAAUGUUAUCAGGCUGAGCGCGCCUGUUUGUAGAUAACUCGUCAGAUUUAUCUAGUUUGGUGUGGACAUCAUCGUAUUUAGUUUUGGCUAUAUCGAGUUAUUCCUGUAGCAUAUGAUUUUGUUCCUGUAGAAGACGAUUUUGUUGAAGAUUUUGUGCUUGUUCAUCGUCACACGUUUUUGAAAUUACAUUUAAUAGUUCAGUUUUCAACCGCAGUUCCAUAGCUAGCAGAAUUUUGCCCUUUUCUGCAGUUGUCAUUGGUUUCCCGGUUCUCUCCACCUGUCCCUUUAUGUCUACUGUUACCUGCUCGUGCUUCAGCUGUGAACUGCGGUAUUAGACUGAUGCCCAUUUCGGAUGGCAAGACAUCAGGGCUAGAUUGGAGAGAACCUUUACGAAGCCUGCGCCCGAUGGUUGAUUUUGGAGAGCGUUGUUUGGUCUGUGAUGGGACGUUUUUUUUCUUCACACAUAUCUCGGCUAUUAGGCUGUUCUUUAGUAAAGGUUGAAUAGUCUAUUGUUCAGCUAUUAGCCCCCCUCCCCAACUUGCAACAAAUGGUUGUUACUCCCAUCACGUUCCUCGCACUUUUCCACGCGUCAUUCUCCGCCUGAGUGGCUUGCUUUUGGGUCUGCUGGCAGGAUAUGGCAGCACCUUCGGUUGUGCAUCAAGAAUUCUGCGUAGCAGGUUUGUAUGAAGGUCUGGUUAUUCACAGGCAAAUUGUUAUAUGCUAUGGAGGUACAUUUGUGUCUUGUUGAGAGCAAAAGUUUUAUUUUCAAUCAAAAAAUUGUUCUGAAAGCAAAAACGAGGCUAACAAAUAUUUUGUAAUAGAGCGCAAAACUUUAUCCAUUUUAUUCACAAAAUAUUUCGAGAACAAAAAAUGUAUUUGAAAACAAAACUCCAAUUUAAUUUCGUUAUCAACCACCCUCCAUUUUAGCAAUUUUUUGAGUGUCAGUUUGGCUACCACCAAAACUGUUCAGCCUUUCUUUCCGACACAAAGGAAGUCAUAGCGGACACCUACGAAGGACUAUGUGAUGAUGGCAUCUCAGGUAAGCAGUACUGGGCGUUCUUCCGUCCAAUGCAUGCAAACGUUGAAUGAUAGAUCAUGCAAUUAUUAUUCUCAAGCUAACCAAAAACAUUUAGCUUCGAACGCCUAUUCUCGCCUUUUUCAGGUGAAUUAAUCUAACUUUCUUUCAUUGCAACUCGUAAGCAGGCCAUGUCCUAUUUGUUUCAUAGUUGAUAUGUAAUUAUAUUUUAUGACUGUAACGGUUAGCUUUUUUUAACAGAAGGAUGAAAGAACACUGUCUGUCAAAUAAUACUAUUCUGAUAUGUCAGAUGAAGAGUUAGACCAGAAAGUCAGGGCCAUGAAGGCCAGGAUGCCUCAUGGGGGCUUUAAAAACGGUCAAAGGAAGUCUCCAAGCAAUGGGCUAUCGUGUACAAUGGCGAAGAGUUACGGAGUCUUUGCAGCGUGUAGAUGGUGCAGGUAUCAUUGCCAGAAUGAUCCAGCUUCAUUGCAUUGCGUGGCAAAAAUACUCUGUUCCUGCUCCCCUGUCUCUCGUCCACACUGAUACAAAUCAUGCAUGUAUAAGAUACAACAUUGUCAUCUUGGGCAGUAUUGAUUACAUUUUCAAGGAAGAGUGCGAGCUGAUCAAGGGGUUGAAAAUGUAGAUAUUGCCAGAUGUAUGUUCACUGUCCGAGAAACAGGCUGGCAAAACUGUCCAUAACCAGAGGUAAUUAAACUGUUCUGUGUUAUUUUUCUCUCUUCCCCUCUGCCUGCCUUGAUGUACAUGGAAUCUGUCUCACAUGCAUUCAUUGUAAUAUAAUAUUACAAUUAUAAUAUUUAUAAAACAUGUAUUAUGUAUUUAUUACACCUGGAUAAUGAACUUUCAAUAAAGCGUUUCACAUUC